GAGCGGUAGCACAGGGGAGCUUGCUCCCUGGGUGACGAGCGGCGGACGGGUGAGUAAUGUCUGGGAAACUGCCUGAUGGAGGGGGAUAACUACUGGAAACGGUAGCUAAUACCGCAUAACGUCGCAAGACCAAAGAGGGGGACCUUCGGGCCUCUUGCCAUCAGAUGUGCCCAGAUGGGAUUAGCUAGUAGGUGGGGUAAUGGCUCACCUAGGCGACGAUCCCUAGCUGGUCUGAGAGGAUGACCAGCCACACUGGAACUGAGACACGGUCCAGACUCCUACGGGAGGCAGCAGUGGGGAAUAUUGCACAAUGGGCGCAAGCCUGAUGCAGCCAUGCCGCGUGUGUGAAGAAGGCCUUCGGGUUGUAAAGCACUUUCAGCGAGGAGGAAGGUGGUGAGCUUAAUACGUUCAUCAAUUGACGUUACUCGCAGAAGAAGCACCGGCUAACUCCGUGCCAGCAGCCGCGGUAAUACGGAGGGUGCAAGCGUUAAUCGGAAUUACUGGGCGUAAAGCGCACGCAGGCGGUUUGUUAAGUCAGAUGUGAAAUCCCCGGGCUCAACCUGGGAACUGCAUUUGAAACUGGCAAGCUAGAGUCUCGUAGAGGGGGGUAGAAUUCCAGGUGUAGCGGUGAAAUGCGUAGAGAUCUGGAGGAAUACCGGUGGCGAAGGCGGCCCCCUGGACGAAGAC
rnacentral:rRNA from 1 species